UGAGAAUUUAGUAUUAAUGAGCUGUCCGUUUUACAGAAUAAAGUAAACACUGGAAUUUGUAAACUUCAUGAUGAAUCUGAACCAAACAAAGACCCCAAUAUUAAUCUAAUUCAAAUAAAAAUAAAGUCUUAAAAUUAUUGCACAAAAAUACUUUAAAUAUCUUCCCUCAGUAGAGACUUGAGCUUAAAAAGUUGGUCACCUCAGAGUAGCUAGAUUGAUCACUGGUAAGGAGUCAUUAUAAGAAGUUCACGUUAAUAUGAGAAACGAAGUUCCUUAUCUCCCUCUAUUGCUAGAUAGUUAGUUAUAUGUAAUGCUUAAAGUGUGUAUUCUUUGUUUAGGGGGGCCAUCCGGCAUAGAAACCUUUUUAAAACUAUGGUUGAUAAAGCCAGGCAUGUACGGUCUUGGUUAGUUAUGAGUUCCCCCACAUAUGAAAGGGGAGAAAAAAAAAGAAAAAGGCACCCUCCUCAAAUGCCAAUGAUACCGUCAUUAAUAAAGCAGAAAUUUCUCAAUUUUUCAUCACCGUAUAAGAUAAAAUAAAAUACAACCAGUAUCACAAUUCAUAAUACGCAAGAAACAAAUAAACGCUCACUGUCAGAUAAAAUUAUCAAUGACAUUAAUUCGUAAAUUUGAAAAAGAGGGAGGAUCAGGGAAGAACACAAAGUCUCAAAUGGCAAAAAGAUUUAUGAAUCAAUAAAAGACGGUACAAAAACUGCAUUGAACAGUCAAAACAUAUGUAUACAUGUCUAAGUGAGUUUAUUAUAUAUUCUUGAUGCAAGUGUGGUGAAACUUGCUCUGGUGCAGCAUCAUUAACAAGUUGCAAACAAACAAACCCCUAGAAAAUCCUAAUUAACUCAAAACAAAACACAAUGAAAAAUAAAAAGAAAACCCAAAACAAAAAGAGAAAACGAGUGUUUGGGGAUAGAAAUAGUGAAAUAUAGAUUGAUUCUUGCUGAAACUCAUUAGAAAUUUCUUUCUUGCUCAAUUCUUCCUCAUAUUUCCUCAAUUUCUCAUUCCACUUUGCCUGAAAAUAAUUAGAAACACUAAAAUCAGUGAAAUUAGUAUUAAUAAUGCUUAAUAAUCAAAAAAAUGGAGGGAUUUUGAAAUUAGAAAAUUAGAUAACAUUCUAGCUAAUUUCAAGGCGAUGCAUCACAUAGAAGCCAAGAACUCCCUCGAGAAUUGUCCCUGCCAUUAUUCUCAUAUACCCCAUGCUAUUGGUGACACCAUUUUCUCUCUAUUCUCUCUCUAUAUCAAAGUCUGAGCGAAGUGAUUUGGGAGUUCCCAAUUUGAUGGAUUGGAGCGGUUAAGGGAAAGAGAGAUAAUUUAACAAAAUAGAAGAAUGCCAAAAUGGACUUAAUAACUUAUUAAGAGCGACUUAUAACUCAUUUUUAAAUAAGUUUAAAUUGUGGGUAUUUCCAUAUGUCAUUCGUUACAAACAGGCUAAGGAAAAUAUCAUUGCAGAUGCUUUAUCUCGAAGAUUUGUUUUGAUAAAUACUCUUGAUUCAAAAUUACAUGGUUU
rnacentral:lncRNA from 1 species